rnacentral:tRNA from 1 species
CGGCACGUAGCGCAGCCUGGUAGCGCACCGUCAUGGGGUGUCGGGGGUCGGAGGUUCAAAUCCUCUCGUGCCGACCAAAAAUC